rnacentral:lncRNA from 1 species
UCAGUUUAUAUCUCCAUAAAUCAAAAGCUUAAGAAUGACUGCCAUCCAAUAGGCAUCCAUUGUAUCCAGUUAGUUACCUACUGAAAGCUGAAGCUUGAAGAUGAUCACUGCAGUGGGUAUUGAAUGUAUUGUGGACGGCCAGCCUGAAUGCCAAACUUGCUGGCCAAACUGGUCUUCAUAGUGCCCCGUACCUCACAGUUACCAGCUUCUUCAUGUCAUUCGACAGCGCUGUGGACGUGUGACCAAUUUCCCAAGAUAAGUGGUGAUGGAGAACUACAGAAAGCUUCGUCUAUGAUGCAGGAUCUCAAAGUGAAUCUAUGGUCAGCAAAUGAGCACAUGACACAAGACAAAACAUGUCCUUUGGAUGCCUCAGAAAUAUCUUCCUGGUAGCAGUGUUGUAAAUGGUUAGUGGGAAUCAAGAAAUGAAGGCUAGUGCAUCACCGUCGCUCCGCAUUGUCCUCUUGCCCACCCAAAAAACAUGUUUGGUUGGAGGCUCAAUCAUUGUGCUUUGUUUGGGUCAAGGGUUUGCUGGAUGGUGACGCAGAUCCUACAUCAGUUUGUUGUAGAUUAAUGUAGAAUGUGCUAUCUGCCUGCCUCACCUGCCUGCUCCCUUCCUGCCUUCUUGUAUGAUUACCGCUUUGCCAAUAGAUUACUAGGCUGUUUCCUGAUGUAGGGUUCAGUGUCUCCUUGUCACUAUGCAUGUUAUUAUAUAUGAAAAGAAGACACUUUGUCUAUGCAGAGUAUGUGUACAAAGUUGUGAAUUAACAAAAGAAUUCUGUACUUAUUGCUGCGCUCCACUGUGCUUAUGGUUGGAUCAAGCACCUGGAUAAUUGGCUCGGUGACCAUCAGCAGCAUCACUCAUGCAAUUUGUUUUAGUGUUUCUUUCAUAACAUUUGUGGACCCAUAUAUCAAUGAUUGCUGUUCUCUAAUGCAUAAACUUUGAUCAAUUUCCAGUAAUGGCUUAGCAGGGAUGAUCAAGUUGGCGGCAAAGGCAUGUCAGAUUGGACAUGAACUGUACUGGGGAAGACUACAAUAUAAGCACCACUUUGUGUGCAAACAUAGGAAAAAAAAUCAACGACAGCCGUCGGAUCUUGGGUGAAUGUCUCAGAUGGAUCCUGUGGGAGCUGCUAGAGUGAUAUGCUUUCUAUACAACUCUUGGCGGUUUUGGUGAGAUGCGCAUGAAGCUCCACCAGCUCCUGUGGCUGUGGGACGCAGCCCCUCUGACGUACGGCGCACUCGCUGACGUGUGGACCCGGAUCCACGCGUCAGUGGCCCAACGUCAGGUGGCCGUACGUCAGGGGAUCCGGCUCCGUGGCUGUGGGAUCCAUGUGACAUGUGAGACAUCCAUCCAAGAUCCGACUUUUUUCUAUUCUUGCACACAUGAACUCACUGGUGGAUGGAUUCAGAACUGUGAUUAUAUCUAUCUGGUUGUGGUGUGGUCAUGUGUGGUGGACAUGGUGAGUGACCUGUGCGGCUGAUGGUUUUGAGAUGGUGACGCCUGAACCCGAAGCUGUUUGCAUUAUUGCUGUUUGUUUGGAAAGUGCAACUUGCUUGCCCAACUUGCACAGGAUUACAGGAUUAAUACCGUGUUUCGAUAAUUUUGUUUAAGCUGCCCUCUUUUGGCAUCAUGAAAAAUGAUAAACAUGUUAUGAUUGCGCUUAUGGGAGCCUGUCAAGAUGAUUAGUGCCUGAUAAAACAACUUUAGUCUACGUGACUCGUACAGCCAUCCAUUUAAAGCAAGUUAGUGAACUGAUCAAGUGGUCAUGUGCCCCCAAAGUGACCUUUAAAGAUAUAAUCUAUCUUAUGAGGCAAGGCAGCAGCCUUGUGAUAUUUAUGUGGAGUGGUUAGGCUUGCUAUUAGUCACUCCAUCGGUUUCACGGUACCUAUCAUACCUUCAGGGACGCACACACACAAUUGUAUUUGAUACUAGAAUUGAACCGUUCUCGUUGCUUCCAUUACAUCAACAACACAUACUGCUUAUCUAUUAAAUGCAUGGUAGAUCUAGGGCUGGAAUUAUAACCGGAAACUCACAAGCUUAGCUCGUGGCUGGGCUCGACUUGAUUCGAACUCGGCAACUAACGAGUCAAGUCGAGUUUUAAUCUGAGCUCGUUAACAAAACAAGUUUAACAAGCUAAGCUCACUAGUUGUUUAACAAGUUUAACAUAGAUGUCCUCUAUGUAGUAUACCAAGUGUUUCUUUAUUGAGCUAGUUUCUAUAAAUAUAUUUUAGAUUUAUUGCAUACAUAAUACUUAUAUUUUGUUAUUCACGUCUUUAACGAUCUACCUCGCGAGUUACACAAGUCGAGCUGAAUUCGAAUCUGAGCUUGUUAUGUUAAUGAGUCUAGCAGAGCUAAAUUGUUAUCUUAUUAAUCAGUCGAGCCAAGCUGGCGCGACUCAACUUGAAUUCCACCGCUAGUAUGAUCUGCUGAAAUGUGGUUCUAUUUUGUGUCUCUGUCUAACAAAUGCUUGAAAAUAAAUGAUGCUACCAAACACUUCUUCCAUUCCAAAUUACCGAUGGGGAGAUGACAGUCUCGUAUGAUACGGAUAAUACAUUCGAUUCUAUCGAUUUUUUAUGAUAUAAGUACUAAAUACAUUAUGAUUAAGUUGUCCUCUUUUGGCUUGAUAAUAAAUACUAAAUACAUUAUGAUUAUGAUAAUGGAACCUGUCAAUAUGAUUAGUGCCUGAUAAAACAACUUUAGUCUACAUGACUCGUACAACCAUCCACUUAAAGCAAGUCAAUGAAUUGAUCAAGUGGUCAUGUACCCCCAAAGUUAUCUUUGCAGAUAUAACCUAUUUUAUGAGGCAAGGCGGCAGCCUUCUGAUAUUUAUGUGGGGUGGUUAGGCUUGCCGUUAGUUACUCCAUCUAUUUCGCAAUACUCCCUCUAGUCCUUUGAGAAAUCCAACUCCAUGCCCAGGCUCAUCUGCUCCCGUUUAAAAAAAAUUCAAAACAAAUAGUAAAAAAAUUCAAAAAAAUUCAAUUAUUUUUUGUGUGGUAGAUAAUUUGAUGCGUGAGGUCUGCUUAAAAUUUCAACUCAUUUGGACAUCUGAGCAGCUCUCGCCAAAAAAGACAAAUCGGAGCAGAACAGUGCAUAAACAGUAAACUUUUUUACAGACCCUGAAUUUGUCUUUUCUGCCGAGAGCUGCUCGGAUGUCCAAAUGAGUUGAAAUUUGGACCGGACCUCACGCAUCAAAUUAUCUACCACCCAAAUUUUUUUGGAAUUUGUUUAUUUUUUUACUAUUCAUUUUGAAUUGUUUUCUAAGCGGGGUUGCAGAUGAGCUCGGGAGCAGAAACUCAGCACUCCCUUUGAGAAAUCCAACUCCGUGCCCAGGCUCAUCUGCUCCCGCUCAGAAAAAAAUUCAAAACAAAUAGUAAAAAAAUUCAAAAAAUUCCAUUUUUUCUUGUGUGGUAGAUAAUUUGAUGCGUGAGGUCCGCUCAAAAUUUCAACUCAGCACUCAUAAACAAUUUGUUAGUCAAACUUCAUAAAGUUUGAUCAUGCACGCAAAAAAAAAAGUAUUUGAUAUAAUUGAACCAUUCUCGUUGCUUUCAUUAGAUCAUCCGAAACUACUUAUCUAUACAAUGGUAUGAUCAACUGAAAUGUGGUUCUAUUUUGUGUCUCCGACUGAUAAGUGCAUGAAAGUAAAGUAUGCUACCAAAUACUUCUCCCGUUCCAAAUUUUAGUUCUACCCAAGUCAAAUUUUCUAAUGUUGCAGAAUCUUUCCUUGACAAAACUAUUCUCAGCCAAUAGAAGUUGAGCUAUUUAUCCAGACCAGGGUUGAACCGAGCAAAUGUUGAAGCCAAAGAAAACAUAAAUCCAUUGCGGUUAGAAACCAGCGACUCUACAACAAUGGCUCGAUGGCGACAAUAACAUCUACAACACCAAGUUAGUUUUAUUGGAUUCUUUAUGAAAUAUAUUUCCAUACUGUAUAUUUUGAUGUUAUCAAUCUUAUGGCAAAUUCUCCCAUCAUCAUCCUCUGUUAUCUUUCAUUACUAAACUGUUUGACUGAAGAGAAACUUGUAGGAUCUUCUCCCAUCCUCUUAAAUUUUAACAUGGGGUUGCUAUAAUUAAUGGUUGAUGUUGAAGUUUAGUGCAACUAUUUUGCUGAUUGCUCUUUUUCUUUCGUAAUAAUUUGGUUGUGUGCAUCCUUGAUGUCUUGAGUAGCUCUUGAGAUCGUUAACAUCUUGAUAUUGAUACAAUCCGUUCUAACAGAAAAAAACCUCAUGCUAAAAUCCUUCCAAAUAGUCCAAUGCAUUGUUGAGGAAAUCGUUAACUGGUAACUGCUCGGUUGGCUGGCGAGUAGGGGAUUAAUAGGCUAAUCGGCAAGUUAAUCGGCCAUUUAAUCAAUUAAUCGGACGAUUUAUCAGUUUAUCGGCUACUCGGUGACCCUAUGAGUAGGGAUUAAUCGGCAAGUUAACUGGUUAAUCGGAUGAAUUCUUGAACAGGGGUCCAAUGUAUGCGAGAGGUACAAACAGUGAGGGUGCUACAUAUGCAACACCCUCUUUCUUCUAGAUUGAAGGCAUAUACUUUAACUUGCUGUAGUCUCGGAAGUACAGAAUCAACUCAGAUCCUUGAAAACCAUUAGAGUUGGCAAAUUAGGGACUGGAUUCAAAAAUAUAGAAUGCUAGGCAGUGGAAAGAAGUUCAGUAAAUUAGAAAAUCAUCUGGCAGAAUUCGAGAAGAAAAUAUGGUCACAGAGAGAGCUUAACCAAAACGAAAAAAAGAACUGUGACCUUACCAAAGUCAAAACUAGUACAAAUAUAUCAUUGUGAGAAUCAUGCUAAUCUACACCUCUCAAUAAAACUAAGUUAUUUUCUCCUAGAAUAAGAAAUAAAAAACAUCAAAAGCAAGCAAGAAAGAUUAAGUUAUGUCGAACUGAAUCACCUCUUCCAUCAGUGACACACGAGUUUUUACACAUCCAAGCUGGUGCCACAAAACAAGAAAAUUAGGCCCAUAUCCAACAACUGGUUGUUACAAUGGCGCUACCGUCACUUUCAGCGUCCAUCGGACGGCCAUUUUGUGAAACAGGGAAUAUAAGGCGCACAACCCACGAAAUCUACAUAAGAGCUGAUAACAUUCACUUUCCGAUUAUCCGUAUCAUACGAGACUGUCAUCUCCCCAUCGGUAAGGAAAAUCAGAUUACAAUUUGGAUGAAUGGCCAACACCAUGUAGGACUCAUGAUCUUUGCGACAAUGACUUCCAAAUAAUUCCAGAACAUUGACAGUGUGCUUUAGAGUCCAGUUCUCGCUACCAUAAUCCCGAAGAACCCAAAGAGAGAAUUGGCAACCAUUAAGAACAUCUACACGCCAAGCAUGCAAGCAUCCCUGAGACAGCCCAAUGGCGUCGAAGUGUGGCACUCUAAUUUCUCUCCAAAUCUUCCCCUCUUUGUCCACUGUUACUAUUGAAGAACCACAGGUAGUCAAAUGCAUAAUGCCAUUCAAGAAUAUGGCAUCUUGAUCACCCACAGUAGUAUCGGAAGCCCACCCACUUUCCACGUAAGUCCAUCGUUCUGUUCCCGAUGAGUAGAUCGCUACUUUUCCGAUUAGUUCAUAAAUAUCUGUCAAGGGCGCAACCACCACGAAGCUAGAGGGAUUGACUGCGUCGAAACCCAAAUAGCGUUCGACGUCCGCUUGGUCCAUGCAUUCUAUGGGAGGCAACAGAGUCCACUUCUCGGUCCCGGAUUGCACACGACAUAAUCACAUUCACCCCGCGGUGAGUACGAGUUCUUCCAGCACAUGCAAAGGAGAAGGCUGCUAGACCAUUGUGUGACCUCUAAGCUUUCGUAGCUCCGGCGCAAGAAAGAGAGAUCGGGAUCGACCAGACGGGGGCCACCCCUGGUCAGAUCAUGGAAACUGAGGCCUUGGCGUUCCUCGUCCAAGAAGUAGAGGCCGGAUAGGGUCUGCGGCGACCUCUUGUGGGUGUCGAGACCGGAGCAAAGGUCAAGCCACUGCUUGGACACGCACUUAAAACGGCAGAGCGACUUGUAACGCACCAACGACAGGAUUUCGAUGACGAUGUCGCCGGGGAGGCUUGUCGCGGGCUGCUGCUCGCCAUUGCGCUUCUGUUUCUUCUUCUUCUUCUUCUUCUACAAACGCAAGAGAAGUUUGUUUAUGCCUAGAAUUUGAUUGGAAGAAGGAAGAAUAUAUAUGGGGAGGAAGAGAACCUCGGGAGCUACAGAAGCAAUGACGGGGAGCGUCGGCGAAGAAGACGGAACGUCCUCGGGGCAGCCAUGGUGGCCGCUCGCCUGCGGGGAAUCGUGCUCCGUGCAAUCAUCUCCUCCUCCUACUGGCGGCAUCGUCUCCUCGGUUCGCGGGGCUAGGGUUUGUGGUCGGAAAUUGAUCGGCCCCUGAUCGACGACUGAGCGCGACCCUUCUCUUUUUUGGAAGCAGAUCCAGAUCGUAGCGAACCGAGAGUGGCACCGGAAGAAGAGUAUGGGCUUGAGUAUCGUUGCUUUUAUAUGGGCUUUCAAGAACGGCCCACUUCAUUCUGAUGCACGUCAGCCACCCACAGUUCUUUCUUCUUCUUCCCCUAAAAAAAGUUAUUUCUUCUUAUUUUUCUAAUCAAGCUCGGAUGUCAUGGGAAAAAUUGUGCCCGGAAAAGGACAUCAAUUGUUUCACAUUUUCUUGAAAUCUCUGCCAACUUUAGCAUGGUUUCGAAAGGGUGCUUUACAACAACAUUGUUUUCCAGAAUGAUGUGCGACGAUUCAUGUGUGGAAUGCUAUACAUGAAUGGUUGGCAAAAAAAUGUGGGGAAUAGUUCAAAAAAUUUAAUGAAAAAUAUGAUCAUUUGUGUGAUUGAAGAAUAAACACAAGAGGUUUGUUAAAUCCUUGAUUUAGACCUGACAAUCUAUCUCCAGUGUUAGCAUAAAGUGAGUUCUUAGCUCGUGCUUAGGAUGGUUGUCAGUUCUCUAGAUGAUAUAGAGAAAGCCACCUUGUAAUUUAAUUUCUCAGAUAUCCUAAAAAAAGAAUAAACCUGAGGGUAAUUUUAAGGGUAAUUUUGAUUCAUGAUCAUCUGGAAUAAAUUAUUGACUGAAAAUAAAAUUUUGGACGAAGAGAACGAGAAGUGGAAGUUUUUGGACCGGCCAUGGGUAUUCUAUGAUGCUACUUCGGCUCUGAAAGCACUUGGAGUUUUCAUUUUUAUUUGCAAGGGUUGCAACCUAAUUGAAAACAUGCAAAAUAAGGUCACAAACAUGCAGAGUUACUGUUCACUGUUUCCCUUCAUCCUUUGAGGCAGAAAGCGGGAGACAGACUAGAGCGGAGGUCAAUGGGAAGUCUACCAAUUCCUCCUUGAUGGCAGCAAAUAAUUUCCCUUGUCAAACGGCCUAACCAAUAGGAACCGUUUUGUUGAUGUAUACGGUAUGAAAAAAAAAACUAAUGGAUUGUUUCAACUGAAGACUCUUUCUGUAUCUCAUGAAUAAUAAGAAUGACUGGCACAGUCGGCAUCCAAUUUAUCCAGUUAGUUACCUACUGAAAGCUAAAGCUUAAAGAUGAUCACUGCAGUGGGUAACUGGGUAUACAAUGUAACCAGUUAAACAUCUUUUAUUUUAGGACGGAGGUAGUACCUACUCCCUCCGUCGAGUACCAAAAUUUCAGAUUAUAGCUACUACAGGACGGCCAACUUCAGUGCUAAACCUGCUGCCCAAAUUGGUCUCGACAGUGCCCCAUAUCUCGCAGUUACCAGCUUCUCUUCAUGUUAUUGGACAUCGUUGUCGCUGUGGGACCAAUUUCCGAAGAUCUUCAGUGAUGGAAAACUGCGGAAGGCGUCAUCUAUGUCGUAGGGUUUUAGAGAGAAUCUAUGGUCAGCAAACGAGCACAUGGCACAUGAUAAAACUAUGUCCUUUGGAUGCCUCAAAAAUAUCUUCAUGUGGGCAGUGUUUGUAAAUGCCGAGUGGAAAUCAAGAAAUGAAGGCUAGUGCAUCACCGUCGCCCCGCAUUGUCCUCUUGCCCACCCAAAAAACAUGUUUGGUUGGAGGCUCAAUCACUGUGCUUUGUUUGGGUCAAGGGAUUGCUGGAUGCUGACACAGAUCCUACAUCAGUUUGCUGCAGAUUAAUGUAGAAUGUGCCAUAUGCCUGCCUCACCCGCCUGCCCCCUUCCUGCCUUCUUGUAUGAUUACUGCUUUGCCAAUAGAUUAUUAGGCACGUUUCCUGAUGUAGGGUUUAGUGUUUCCUUGUCACCAUGCAUGUUACUAUUAUAUAUAUGAGAAGGCACUUUGCUUCUGCAGAGUAUGUGUACAAAGUUGUGAUGAAUUGGCAAAGGAAUGUUGUACUUAUUGAUGCA